AUAAAGACUGUGAAGCAGAAAAAGACCUUCUAUUUUGGUUUAAGAGAGUUGACGGGCGGUGCGAGUCAAUACGGAUAAAAGGUGCAUAGCUCUCUGCUAAGUCGCUGUUUUGAAUAGAAAUUAAUAGGAACAGACGUGUUGCUUCGUUAUCGGCAGAGGCAUUGAUUGAUGCUAAAGGGCAGGGAAUUACCUUGCUGAAGUAGGGUGGUACAGCGUGAUAUUAACGCCCCUAUA
rnacentral:ncRNA from 1 species